UACGUAGGGUGCAAGCGUUGUCCGGAAUUAUUGGGCGUAAAGAGCUCGUAGGCGGUUCGUCACGUCGGGAGUGAAAACUCGGGGCUUAACCCCGAGCCUGCUUCCGAUACGGGCAGACUAGAGGUAGGCAGGGGAGAGCGGAACUCCUGGUGUAGCGGUGGAAUGCGCAGAUAUCAGGAAGAACACCGGUGGCGAAGGCGGCUCUCUGGGCCUUACCUGACGCUGAGGAGCGAAAGCGUGGGUAGCGAACAGG
rnacentral:rRNA from 1 species